rnacentral:pre_miRNA from 1 species
AAAAAAAUAAACAUUGGUUUUUCGUGUUCAACUUUGAUUGUCCGUCUUAUAUGAAUUUUUUUAUAAUUCGUAUUUUUAUUGUUGUUAGAUGAUAAAACAUGAUUAAUAUUUUAUAUGUAACUUGUCUUUUUAAUUUUUUUUAUAAUUUUUUUAAAUAAGAUGGACACGUUGGACACGGAAAGUAGGGUUCGUAGG